GAUGAAGAACGCAGCGAAAUGCGAUACUUGGUGUGAAUUGCAGAAUCCCGUGAACCAUCGAGUCUUUGAACGCAAGUUGCGCCUCAAGCCAUUAGGUUGAGGGCACGUCUGCCUGGGCGUCACAUAUCGUUGCCUGAUGCCAGUUUCCUCGUGAUGGGUGACUGUGCAGGGCGAAUGAUGGCUUCCCGUGAGCAUUGUUGCCUCUUGGUUGGUUGAAAAUUGAGUCCUUGGUAGGGGGCGCCGUGAUAGAUGGUGGUUGAGUGACGAACGAGACCCAAUCAUGUGAGACCCCUACCGAAUUUGGCCUUCAUGACCCACAUGCGUCUUUGGAACGCUCAUGACGAGACCUCAGGUCAGGCGGGGCUACCCGCUGAGUUUAAGCAUAUCAAUAAGCGGAGGA
rnacentral:misc_RNA from 1 species